rnacentral:misc_RNA from 1 species
GGAAGGAUCAUUACUGAGAAUGCUCUCCGGAGCCCUCAAACCUUGCGUAUUUAUCUUGUACUUGCGGGUGCGGCGUCGCAAGACGUCCCCCGCGAGGAUUCAAACUGUUUGACUGUCGUCAGAUUCUUACAAAAGAAAACAACUUUCAACAAUGGAUCUCUUGGCUCCGGCAUCGAUGAAGAACGCAGCGAAAUGCGAUAGCUAGUGUGAAUUGCAGAUUUUAGUGAAUCAUCGAGUCUUUGAACGCACAUUGCGCCCUUUGGUAUUCCUCAGGGCAUGCCUAUUCGAGCGUCGUUUCGACCCAGCGCAAGCUGUUUUGAAAGCUCCCGCCCGGGACUUUUUAAAAUCAUCGGCGGCAGCAGCGAGCCAAACGCAGCAGAUUGCGCGCACCUCGCGGCCACCGCCGUUAAACCCCUUGGCCACGCUUCGGCGGCGCCUCGGAUUCUACGCUCGACCUCGAAUUAGGUAGGGAUACCCGCUGAACUUAAGCAUAUCAAUAAGCGGAGGAAAAGAAACCAACAAGGAUUGCCUCAGUAACGGCGAGUGAAGCGGCAACAGCUCAAAUUUGAAAUCUGGCUCUUUCAGGGCCCGAAUUGUAAUUUGCAGAGGAUGCUUCGGCGUCGGCGCCACCCAAAGUUCCUUGGAACGGGAUGUCAUAGAGGGUGAGAGCCCCGUGUCCGGGUGGAUGCCUUCGCCAUGUGAAGCUCCUUCGACGAGUCGAGUUGUUUGGGAAUGCAGCUCAAAACGGGAGGUAAAUUUCUUCCAAAGCUAAAUACCGGCUGGAGACCGAUAGUGCACAAGUAGAGUGAUCGAAAGAUGAAAAGCACUUUGGAAAGAGAGUUAAACAGCGCGUGAAAUUGUUGAAAGGGAAGCGCUUGCUGCCAGACUCGCCCGUCGUUGCUCGACAGGACUUUUGCCCUGUUCACUCUUCGGCGGGCGGGCCAGCAUCGGCUCGGGCGGCUGGAUAAAGGCUGCGGGAAUGUGGCUCUUCGGAGUGUUAUAGCCCGCGGUGGAAUGCAGCCAGCCUGGGCCGAGGACUGCGCAUCUGCUUGGAUGCUGGCGUAAUGGCCGCAAGCGGCCCGUCUUGAAACACGGACCAAGGAGUCUAACAUUCGUGCGAGUGUUCGGGUGGAAAACCCGUGCGCGCAAUGAAAGUGAACGUAGGUGGGAGCCCGCAAGGGUGCACCAUCGACCGAUCCCGACGUCUUCAGAAGGAUUUGAGUACGAGCACGGAUGUUGGGACCCGAAAGAUGGUGAACUAUGCCUAAGCAGGGCGAAGCCAGAGGAAACUCUGGUGGAGGCUCGCAGCGGUUCUGACGUGCAAAUCGAUCGUCGAAUUUGGGUAUAGGGGCGAAAGACUAAUCGAACCAUCUAGUAGCUGGUUCCUGC